AACGGAUGGUCCACCGUGAUAGAAGUAUCAGAAGGCAUUGUAGUUGGUGAGGAAGAAUGACCUGGAAGUAACAAAUAUUUUGGGACAUGGUAGACACUUUAACUUCUCUUGUUUUCUCAUUUCCAAUAAUAUAAGAGCAGUGUGACUUGUCUUGCCGUUUUAUUUCAACUAAUAAUAGCCACUUCGCUUUGGCGGUGGAAUUAAAGCAAGAGAUCUGUCAGGACUAGCAUUAAGUAAGGCUGAAUUGGUUUCUAAACUUCAAGCUUUUGAGCAAGCGAAACAAGUACUCGAAGAAAAGUUCAAUGGCGUGGUGCAAGAAGUGUCCGAAAUUAAGUGUCUUCUGUCUGGUUGAUCUCUAAGUGAUAGUUCUUGUGAAAACUAGUGAUCAAGUAAGUUGUUGUCAUAUGUUGAUAUUUUAUUCUAUUAUACUUUGUGCCAAUUUAUUUACAAGGGUUGACUUUCAUAAACUACUCAACAUUUUGUAGGACUGAUGGUUCUACAUGCUAUAUAGAAGCAUCAAGGUUCUUUGUAAUUGCCGAUGAGGAAUGAUAUCCAUUCAAAUAACGAUGAUGUCCCUCGAUUGAAGAUUAAUAAUUAUUAUCUUUUCUAGUUUCCUGUUUUCCAGUUAGAUAUGAGCAAGUACAUUGUUCAUAUAAGGAGUGCUUUUGACUCAAUUUCUUAAAUGAUAUUGUAAUUUCAGAAUUGUAUGUCGGCAUUUUGGUAUUUCUAUUAAUAAACGACGCUAUCAUCCUUUCAAUUCAGAUUCUUUCGUUUCUGUAUUAAUGUGGAUGUUAAUAUUUGAAUGUUGGAUGCUGCAUAA
rnacentral:lncRNA from 1 species